rnacentral:rRNA from 1 species
CCUACGGGAGGCAGCAGUUGGGAAUAUUGCACAAUGGGGGAAACCCUGAUGCAGCGACGCCGCGUGAGUGAAGAAGUAUUUCGGUACGUAAAGCUCUAUCAGCAGGGAAGAAAAAAAGUCCUUUGGACUUUGGACGGUACCUGACCAAGAAGCCCCGGCUAACUACGUGCCAGCAGCCGCGGUAUUACGUAGGGGGCACGCGUUUUCCGGGUUUACUGGGUGUAAAGGGAGCGUAGACGGCAGCGCAAGUCUGGAGGGAAAUGCCGUGGCCCAACCCCGGAACUGCAUUGGGAACUGUGCAGCUGGAGUGCAGGGGAGGUAAGCGGAAUUCCUAGUGGAGCGGUGAAAUGCGU